rnacentral:rRNA from 1 species
AUACGGAGGGUGCGAGCGUUAAUCGGAAUUACUGGGCGUAAAGCGUACGUAGGCGGUUUGCUAAGUCAGAUGUGAAAGCCCCGGGCUUAACCUGGGAACUGCAUUUGAUACUGGCAGACUAGAGUAUGAUAGAGGGGGGUAGAAUUCCUGGUGUAGCGGUGAAAUGCGUAGAUAUCAGGAGGAAUACCAGUGGCGAGGGCGGCCCCCUGGAUCAAUACUGACGCUGAGGUACGAAAGCGUGGGGAGCGAACAGGAUUAGAAACCCUAGUAGUCC